UUGCUUCAGCAGCACAUACACUAAAAUUGAAAUGAUACAGAGAAGAUAAGCAUGGCCCCUAUGCAAGGAUGGCAUGCAAAUUCAAGUACAUAUUUCAUUUGUAU